AGCUCUUGACAUGCCGUGCUACCAGCGGAGACGUUGGGUUCCCUUCGGGGACGCGGACACAGGUGCUGCAUGGCUGUCGUCAGCUCGUGUCGUGAGAUGUUGGGUUAAGUCCCGCAACGAGCGCAACCCUCGCCUCUAGUUGCCAGCAUUCAGUUGGGCACUCUAGAGGGACUGCCGGUGAUAAGCCGAGAGGAAGGUGGGGAUGACGUCAAGUCCUCAUGGCCCUUACGGG
rnacentral:rRNA from 1 species